AACUAGCAGAACCACUGAACAUGCUGCAUUCAUUUUCAAAGAAACAUGGAGAACAUUGUUGUGAGGCCAUGGUGGGGUCACUUGUAUGUGUAUUUCAUGGGAAAGAAACGCACAAAGUGGCAACCGUUCAGAUCUUUUUCUGUAAAAUUGCAUUUAAGAUUCCUGUCAAGUUUCUGCGUUAUCUGCAUUCUAAUCUGCCAUUAGCGUCAUGCUGCGUUAUUUGAAUACAAAUGAGUGCAACAAGUAUAUGUAUGAAAAUAAAAUGCCACGUAUUCCUGAACGCAGUUCCAAAGUGAUGGUAAGAUAUACAUUCUGUUUCUUAAUAAAUUAAAAUAUCAGUCUGAAGUUACAAUUCCAGGCACUGCCUACUGUCGUGCUGAAAUCAAAAGGGCAAACAAUCCCUUCUUCUAUACCAGUGGAGUAGCCUAAACCCCAAUAUACACCUUCCAACUCCAACAGCACGAAAAUUUUACUAUCUCGAUAUCCCCAUUUUACUAUGUCGUACCCACUAAUCAAAACCGGAAAAAUAAGCGAGGAAAACAGCCGUUCCACAUAACGUCGAGCACAUGGCGCGCGCUCUCGAAGCUGGCCUAAUGGUAGAAGACGACGGGCGGGACGGCGAACCCGGAAUCCUUGAGGAACGGGACUACCUGCGGUUGCUCGGAGAGGUCGUGGUAGAAGGCGUACUCCGCAUCGUAGUCGUGGAGGUCUAGCUCCGCCUUUUGGUUGCUGUGGUAAUGGUGCUUGGCGUCGGAAGACUUGCCGAAGCCGAACACGCUGACUCUGUCGCACACUCCCACGGCGACCAUGAUGGCUUGCAUCCCGGACGAGUAAUGGAACAUGGCGGCGUCGUGCGCGCGGUCCCAUUCCUCGGGCGCGCGGCCGGUCUCGGCGACGAAUCGGCGGAGGGAGUAGUACUUGACGAUGCGCGCGCAGAGGACGUCGAGGCGGGCGUCGGUGACGGAGAUGGGGGAGCCGUGGCGGGAGGACGAGGUGGCGUUGCAGGCGGCGACGUCGACGAAAUGGGCGGCCUGGCAGAUAUAGAGCAGGAUGGGGACGCCGUGGCCGUAAGGGUGGCAGAAGCACCCGGGCCGGCGCGCGCAGAGGUGAAGAACGUUGCUGUUGAUGAAGGAGAAGUUGGUCUUGCUGCCGACGUGCGCGGCGUAGCCUGAGACGCGGGCGUUGUUGAGGCGGAACACGGCUGCGUGGGAAUCGAUGAGGGCUCCAUGGUUCGCGCGCAGGAGGAUGCCACUGUUGCCGACGACGGCGCAGGAGGGGAUGCGCCCGGGGAUGGAGAGCAGGGAGGGGAGGGUGGCGAGGACGGCAGGGUCGUAGCGGCGGAGGCGGUGCCAGGAGCGGAGGUCGCGGCGCAGGGCGGGGUCGAUGUGGAGCUGCUCGUGGCGCGGGAGCGGGUGGAGCAGGAUGUCGUGGUCGUCGUCCGGGUAGCGGCCGCGGCGCGGGAGCGGGAAGCUGCGGUGGCGGUGGAGGUGGAGCGGGUGGAGGAGGCCGCGCCGACGAGCCCGACGAAGAUGAGCACCGCGAAGGAGCGCCGCAGCGGCCGCUUCAUCGCCGCCGCGGGCGCAGCCCCAGCCUGGGGGCUAGCUGGGUCGGAGCCACCGCAUCCGCAUGGGGGCACGCCAAUCAGGCAGAGGAGGAGGAGAGAGGUGAGAGCCCGCGACGCGCGGGGCGUGUCCGUGCGACCGAUCCGGGCCGACCGGCCGAGCAGUGUCCGAGUGGCGAAGUGGGCGCGGCCGUGGCCGCGUGGGGGCAGCGAGUUCUUUAUUGGUCGCCGUGCUAACGGGCUUGCGACUUGCGAGGCGGGUAGGAUUAUAGGAGUGUGCUAUUCAUGGUUGGUUGGACUUUGGGGUUCGGCAAACGGGGGAUCCAAUGUGCCCUGCUCCGGU
rnacentral:misc_RNA from 1 species